rnacentral:rRNA from 1 species
CUUAGGACCGUUAUAGUUACGGCCGCCGUUUACUGGGGCUUCAGUUCAGAGCUUCGCUUACGCUAACCCCUCUCCUUAACCUUCCAGCACCGGGCAGGUGUCAGCCCCUAUACUUCGCCUUACGGCUUCGCAGAGACCUGUGUUUUUGCUAAACAGUCGCUUGGGCCUAUUCACUGCGGCUUUCCGUUAAGAAAGCACCCCUUCUCCCGAAGUUACGGGGUCAUUUUGGCGAGUUCCUUAACCAGAGUUCUCUCGCACACCUUAGGAUUCUCUCCUCGCCUACCUGUGUCGGGU